rnacentral:lncRNA from 1 species
GGUGGAAACGACUGUCACAGGAAACAUAAAAACAUUUCAAAAGGGCAAUCCUGAGUCUUCAGGAAAAACAGAUCCUGUGUCUUCUUUUAGUUCAGGAGAUGCCGGGUCUCUGGGGACAUUGGGGUCCCUGUCUGCUGCAAAAACUGAAACAGUGACUGAGGGAAAAGGAGACCCACAGUCCUUGGAGAAGGCAAGUCCCACAGCCUCAGAAAAGGCUGAUCCCCUGGCUUUAUGCAAGGAGAGCUCUGCAAGCCAGGGAAAGGCAGAAACUGUUCCCUCUGGAGAAGUGGGCUCCACGACUUUAGGGAAAACGGCCUCAACGAGUUCAGGAAAAACGGCUUUGGUGUCCCCAGGGAAGGUGGAUCUCACCGCCUCAGAAAGAGCCGA